CUCUACAUUUUGGACUAAAAUCCACGUGUAUGUCAUUCCCAGAAAAUGUCAUAAUAUAUCUAAGAUAAAAGGUCCUGUAUAGGUCGUUGUAUAAAAUAUACAAGAUAGCAUCUGGAGGAUGACUGUAUAAAACUCUUAACUAUAUGUCAACUACCGGUUUCGUAGUUAGUUAUUAAUUAACACUACAAUAUGCGAUUAUGAUUGGUUACUUUCGCACAAACUAUAGUUAACGACUUUUUGAUGCAGCCUGUCCUGGUUAAAAAAGCAAACUCGGACAUUUCUAACAACGUCCCUUGGUCGGAAGUCCGUUGUUGAAAUCAACGAAGUUUGCUUAUUAUAUUUAGGUGCACAUCUUUUUU